UGUUGUCGCUUCAGCUGUUCCUGCACUUGUGGUGAGUUUUCAUCGUUAAUUACUUUGAAAAAGUAGUUUGGUAUAUGAGCAAUCUUCUUUUGUUCACCACUACGUUUAAGUGUUGUUAUUCUAUGAAACAGGUUGUAAUUAACAAGUUUAUUUUCUUCAAAGAUUUUAGACUUCAUUUUUUAGGUAAGCAGGCAUUGAUUCAUCUGUUUUAAGAAUAUUUCCUUACAGGAGCACAUCUUUCUUAGUUAGCUGCUUCGAAGAUUCUGAGACAAUUAUGUAAGAAUUACCCUAAAAAUACUCAUCGCAUAUACUCAAAGAAAGUUUUAACUGUUUGAGGAGAACAUCUUUCUUGCUUAGCUGCUUCUCAGAUUGUGGAACAAUUACCCAAAGGUAAUUUGAGGGAGGAACAGAUAAACAGCUGUGGGGUUUGUCCUCCAAUGCCGUCUUGCAGAAAAUCAAGCUUUACGCAUCUCUUUGCAGAUUAGCAAUGCUAAUGGUGUUUCUAUGACCAACCACGAGCCUGCCAUGCUCUUAUGCCAACAACUAUAUAUCGAAUUCACAUUUUUCAGCUUUGACAUUUUUUGUACCAACAAAUGUUAUAGUAUCAAUAUGUAAUACUUUUACAAUUUGUACAAAUAAGUAAGGCUUAACAACGUAACAAUUGAUUUCACAUAAUAUGAAGCAUAACGUUGUAUCAUUUAACUAUAA